UGCAGCGGGGCGGGCGGGGAGCGCGGAUCCCGGAGAGGGCGCUGCGGACCGGGCGGGGAGCGCGGAUCCCGGGCGGAGGCAGGCUGGACAGGGUUGCGCGGAUCCCGGGGAAAAGUGCAUCUGGGGAGCCCGACCCGAGGUUCCUUGGAGAUGUCCAGUACGGCAUUUGCCAGCCCAAGUCCUUUAUGCGGAAAACUGCCCCCCAUCCCUCUCUGCGCCCAGCGGCUAGGAGCGGGCUGUUCCCUCUUCCCCCAGCUGAUUGGGCCGCAGGAGGACAUCUGAUCCUAGGGCAGCCCACCCAUUACUUUGCCUCGUUUGGAAAGAUGAUCUGGCCAAUCAGAUUCUCGUUCUCACAGUUCAACCAAGGAAGUGCUGAGAAAGUCAACUAAGAGGUGGUCUUGCCGGAUGGCUGUGGCUGUGGGAGCGAAGUAAGCCGGAGUCGGAUGGUAGAGGAAGGCUGGCGCAGACCCGGGGGUAACCAGGUACUAGGGGUAAGGGUGGCACGUGGAGAAACCUCUGUGAAACCCACAGCUGCCUGGGUCUGCACUUCCCAGGCUGGGAUGUCUAGACCUUCCUGGAUUUCUGUGUCUGUAGCCUCUUAAUAAUGUUUCUUGAGAGAAUUGGAGUGAGUGUAUUUCAUCCUCGGUAACCCGAAUGACUGGGCCGGUUCCUAAGGCCGAAAUUACAUAACAAAUAGGAACACAUUUAAGGUCUUGAUGCUCUGCAAAAUUGCUUUUCAAAAAUCCACCAACACGUGAGUGGAAGUCACGUUGGUCUGUUUUCUGCGCUAGCUUUGACAGAAGGAAGCUCCAAGUGCAACGUUAGGAGCACCCAAUCUCCAUUGUCUGUUCUGUAACUGCUUGGCCCUCUCCCCCAAGGCAGGCUCCCUCAGACCCCUGGGGUCCCCCCCUCCCCCCGCCCCGCACCAUUGUUCAUCGGAGUGGUUAGCACAUUCCAUUUCUUCAGCUCUAAGAACAGACUGCCACCAGCUAUUACCGAUCACCUGACUUCUCGCCCAUUUGUAGCUCGUGUUAUACUUGGAACUUUGACUUGUCCUGAAACGUGUUACUUGGGUACAGUCCAGUCAGGACCUGACCUCAGUAAGUUUAACAUUUUAAUCGAUCCCAACUUCAGCAUGUUUAUAGUCCAAUGUUGACCAUGCAGAAUAACACCUAAGGAAAGUAAUUCCUCUUUAUCACCUCACUGUAAAUCUCUGAGAGUGUAAAUUCUACUUAAGACUUUAAAAGCACCACUACGUGCUAGGGCCCACCCCUUUGUGUGUAUACCCUUUAGGACAGCAGAGAUGAUGUGUACACAUAAAUUAGAGGUGCAUGACUCAUCCCCCCCUAAUUCUCUUCAACACCUUCACAUAAUAUAUCAAAAUAAAUCCCAAAGGAAUACAAUGCCCACGAAAAUUAUUUCUUUUUUUUUUUCAAGAUUUUAAGUGAACUCUUUACCCACUGUGGGGCUCAGACUCACCACCCCAAGAUCAAGAGUCACAUGCUCCGCCAACGGAGCCAGCCAGGUGCCCCGAAAAUUAUUUUCUUUAUUAUUCACUGUUUGACUUCCUACCAUAUACUACUUUGCAACAUAGUCCUUAUACUAAAUUAUUAUUGCAAAUCUUGAUUCUUUGCAUUUAACUUUUAACCAAAGAAUUUGACAUAACAAUGAGUUAAGAUAACAAUAACUUAUAAAUAGUUACAUGGAUGAUGGCUAAGACUUGACUGCAGAGUUUAGAGUCUUAUUUGAUCACUGGAUUGCACUUGCCAGUGUGAUAAAAAAAAAAUAUAUAUAUAUAUAUAUAUAUACACACACACAUGCACACACACGCACAUCU